ensembl:ncRNA K01B6.5 ncRNA
UGUUGCCUGAGGCAAAUAACUUGAUUAACUUCAUUUCGAUUUCCUUUCUCUCACCACGUGCAAACUUUUUCGGACGGACCAUCGACUAGAGCUCUUGCAGAUUCUCGAGGAGAUCUGUGCAUUUUUUUUUGGUUUAUGAGC